rnacentral:lncRNA from 1 species
AUGAAGGGCCUGGAGGACCUACCGGUCGAGAUUCAACAGUUAUUGAAAGGACUUGUAAAGAAUCUAUCUAAACCUGUUAAGAAGAAGCCGUCAUGCAGUAAGGGACAGGGGAGCCUUCCUGGUGAGCGUUCCUCGUCUCUGCCCCUCAAAAUGCCUGCUAGUGACGGGAUGCUGGGCGUAAAAACCGAAAGGAAAAGCUGCAAUCGCUCACCAGGAAAGGCCAAUGCAAAGGACCCACUGAGCAGUAUGAAGGGCAUUGAGGACAUACCGGUCGAGACUCAUCAGUUAUUGAAAGGUGAAAAAACCAAAAGGAAAAGCUGCAAUCGCUCACCAGGAAAGGCCAAAGCAAAGGACCCGCUGAGAGGUAUGAAGGGCCUUGAGGACAUACCGGUCGAGACUCAACAGUUAUUGAAAGGACUUGUACAGAAUCUAUCUAAACCUGUUAAGAAGAAGCCUUCAUGCAGUAGCGGACAGGGGAGCCGUCCUGGUGAGCGUUCCUCGUCUCUGCCCCUCAAAAUGCCUGCUAGUGACGGGAUGCUGGGUGAGUUGAUAAAUAAUCAUCAUCAUAAUACAUUAUACAUCAAUCAUAUAAUAUAA